GAAGUCAGACCGUAAGGACUGGUGGAGCGCUUAGAAGUGAGAAUGCCGGUAUGAGUAGCGAAAGACAAGUGAGAAUCUUGUCCACCGAAUGCCUAAGGUUUCCUGAGGAAGGCUCGUCCGCUCAGGGUUAGUCGGGACCUAAGCCGAGGCUGAAAAGCGUAGGCGAUGGCCAACAGGUUGAUAUUCCUGUACCACCUCCCCGCCGUUUGAGUAAUGGGGGGACGCAGUAGGAUAGGGUAAGCGCGCUGCUGGAUAUGCGCGUUCAAGCAGUUAGGCUGAUGAGUAGGCAAAUCCGCUCAUCAUAAAGGCUGAGCUGUGAUGACGAGGGAAUUAUAGUACCGAAGUUCCUGAUUCCACACUGCCAAGAAAAGCCUCUAGCGAGGCGGGAGGUGCCCGUACCGCAAACCGACACAGGUAGGCGAGGAGAGAAUCCUAAGGUGAUCGAGAGAACUCUCGUUAAGGAACUCGGCAAAAUGACCCCGUAACUUCGGGAGAAGGGGUGCUCUGGUAGGGUGUAUAGCCCGAGAGAGCCGCAGUGAAUAGGCCCAGGCGACUGUUUAGCAAAAACACAGGUCUCUGCGAAGCCGCAAGGCGAAGUAUAGGGGCUGACGCCUGCCCGGUGCUGGAAGGUUAAGAGGAGGGGUUAUCCUUUGGGAGAAGCUCUGAAUCGAAGCCCCAGUAAACGGCGGCCGUAACUAUAACGGUCCUAAGGUAGCGAAAUUCCUUGUCGGGUAAGUUCCGACCCGCACGAAAGGCGUAACGAUCUGGGCACUGUCUCAACGAGAGACUCGGUGAAAUUAUAGUACCUGUGAAGAUGCAGGUUACCCGCGACAGGACGGAAAGACCCCGUGGAGCUUUACUGUAGCCUGAUAUUGAAUUUUGGUACAGCUUGUACAGGAUAGGUAGGAGCCUGAGAAGCCGGAGCGCUAGCUUCGGUGGAGGCGUCGGUGGGAUACUACCCUGGCUGUAUUGAAAUUCUAACCCGCGGCCCUGAUCGGGCCGGGAGACAGUGUCAGGUGGGCAGUUUGACUGGGGCGGUCGCCUCCUAAAAUGUAACGGAGGCGCCCAAAGGUUCCCUCAGAAUGGUUGGAAAUCAUUCGUAGAGUGUAAAGGCACAAGGGAGCUUGACUGCGAGACCUACAAGUCGAGCAGGGACGAAAGUCGGGCUUAGUGAUCCGGUGGUUCCGCAUGGAAGGGCCAUCGCUCAACGGAUAAAAGCUACCCCGGGGAUAACAGGCUUAUCUCCCCCAAGAGUCCACAUCGACGGGGAGGUUUGGCACCUCGAUGUCGGCUCAUCGCAUCCUGGGGCUGUAGUCGGUCCCAAGGGUUGGGCUGUUCGCCCAUUAAAGCGGUACGCGAGCUGGGUUCAGAACGUCGUGAGACAGUUCGGUCCCUAUCCGUCGUGGGCGUAGGAAAUUUGAGAGGAGCUGUCCUUAGUACGAGAGGACCGGGAUGGACACACCGCUGGUGUACCAGUUGUCUUGCCAAAGGCAUCGCUGGGUAGCUAUGUGUGGACGGGAUAAGUGCUGAAAGCAUCUAAGCAUGAAGCCCCCCUCAAGAUGAGAUUUCCCAUAGCG
rnacentral:rRNA from 2 species